UAAAAAGUCUGUUAUGCCUUUU
rnacentral:miRNA from 1 species